rnacentral:rRNA from 1 species
ACUCUACAAGUCCAGAAUACUCACUUUGAGGAACGAUAUUUGGGACUGCCAACGCCUACUGGACGCAUGUCUAAAGGGCGCUUCCAAAGCCUACAUGAACAACUUACUAAGAGAAUUUUGUUCUGGGGAGAAGGUGCAUCACAAGGAGGGAAAGAAAUUCUUAUUAAGGCCAUUGCUCGGGCCUUGCCCACAUACUUGAUGAGUGUGUUCCGUCUUCCACGCAGUGUAUGUGACGACCUCACUCGCAUGGUCAGAAACUUUUGGUGGGGAGCGAAAAAAGGAAGAAGGAAGACACACUGA